AUUGAACGCUGGCGGCAGGCUUAACACAUGCAAGUCGAACGAUGAAACUCUAGCUUGCUAGAGAUGAUUAGUGGCGGACGUGUGAGUAACAUUUAGGAAUCUGCCUAGUAGUGGGGGAUAGCUCGGGGAAACUCGAAUUAAUACCGCAUACGACCUACGGGUGAAAGGGGGCGCAAGCUCUUGCUAUUAGAUGAGCCUAAAUCAGAUUAGCUAGUUGGUGGGGUAAAGGCCCACCAAGGCGACGAUCUGUAACUGGUCUGAGAGGAUGAUCAGUCACACCGGAACUGAGACACGGUCCGGACUCCUACGGGAGGCAGCAGUGGGGAAUAUUGGACAAUGGGGGCAACCCUGAUCCAGCCAUGCCGCGUGUGUGAAGAAGGCCUUUUGGUUGUAAAGCACUUUAAGCAGGGAGGAGAGGCUAAUGGUUAAUACCCAUUAGAUUAGACGUUACCUGCAGAAUAAGCACCGGCUAACUCUGUG
rnacentral:rRNA from 1 species